rnacentral:rRNA from 1 species
GAUGAACGCUGGCGGCGUGCCUAAUACAUGCAAGUCGAGCGAACGGACGAGAAGCUUGCUUCUCUGAUGUUAGCGGCGGACGGGUGAGUAACACGUGGAUAACCUACCUAUAAGACUGGGAUAACUUCGGGAAACCGUAGCUAAUACCGGAUAAUAUUUUGAACCGCAUGGUUCAAAAGUGAAAGACGGUCUUGCUGUCACUUAUAGAUGGAUCCGCGCUGCAUUAGCUAGUUGGUAAGGUAACGGCUUACCAAGGCAACGAUGCAUAGCCGACCUGAGAGGGGGAUCGGCCACACUGGAACUGAGACACGGUCAAGACUCCUACGGGAGGCAGCAGUAGGGAAUCUUCCGCAAUGGGCGAAAGCCUGACGGAGCAACGCCGCGUGAGUGAUGAAGGUCUUCGGAUCGUAAAACUCUGUUAUUAGGGAAGAACAUAUGUGUAAGUAACUGUGCACAUCUUGACGGUACCUAAUCAGAAAGCCACGGCUAACUACGUG